rnacentral:rRNA from 1 species
UACGGAGGAUGCAAGCGUUAUCCGGAUUUAUUGGGUUUAAAGGGUGCGUAGGCGGCUUUUUUAAGUCAGCGGUGAAAUUUUGCAGCUUAACUGUAAAAGUGCCUUCGAAACUGGUUUCCUUGAGUGUAGAUGAAGUAGGCGGAAUUUGUGGUGUAGCGGUGAAAUGCAUAGAGAUGACACAGAACACCGAUAGCGAAGGCAGCUCACAAAGCUAUUACUGACGCUGAUGCACGAAAGCGUGGGGAUCAAACAGGAUUAGAUACCCCU